GUUUUAUAUCUAGUAAAAGUGAAAUCUAGCUAAUGUUCAAAGUCUUUAAAUUAUGUGUAAAGUUCCAAUCUGUGACCUGUUUUACUUGUUACCUCAUUUGUUUUCUUUGUAUUGUACAUAUGGCAGUAAUAAUAGUAGUGAUAAUCAUAGAAGUAAUAAUUAGGCGCUUACAUUUGUUCAAAUAACAGUAGGGUAAGUUUGUGUUCUGAACGUUGCAUUCCUAUUGCAGGAGCUGUUAUAGAGGCAUUUAUUAGACUUCACGAAAAAGGAUUAAUUUAUCAAGGUAUAUGCCAAAAUUCCAUUGCUUACUAUCAUGUUUCACUUUGCUAACUGAUAUUUAGCAUGUUUACUUUCUCAUUUGAUCAUAAUAUUCUUUCUCCUUUGCUUCAACUGCCUAUCACAGGGAAAAGAAAAGAAUGUCAAUAUUAUCAAUCUGUGCACUAAAAAUCUAGAAGAAAUUAUGAUAUCAAAUGAAAAACAACAAAGAAAUACUAGUAUUAACAUUUAAAAGAAAUUUUAUGUAUCUUUUCCCCUUAGAGUGUAUUUAUUUAGAAAUACUGAUGGUUCAAUUUGACAUCUAGUCUGAGUUAGUCACUGACUGGUCCAAACUUGAGAUUUGAAGCGCGUUUUUUUCCCUUUUGGCAGAGGAAAUGCGAACAAAGAAGGACGCAGUGAAGCUUUCUUGGCUUUGCUUAAAUAUCUUAUAACCAUGCAAGAUUUGUCUAUACAAUACUGUCAAAGUUUAAUAUAAGCAAGUUAGAGAGGAAUCAAGAAAGGGAGCACUUCAUCUAGGAUACAAACAAGCUUUGGCUUUUUGUAAGUCUCUGUCCCCUGUAUAUGGUUGCUACUUUCUUGAAGUAUUUACUAAUUUAAAAGAAUCAGGAAAGCCAUUUUCUGGAAGUUGUUUAUAUUUCAUGUGAAUUUGGGCAGUAGAGUAUACUUAUAGUUUACUUGUAAUUAAGAAUUAAUUAUACUAUAUAUGAGGAGCUUGAUGCUGGGGGUAUGGAGCGGACAAGAGAUGUGUACAGGUAUCUUUAUGUUCUUGCAAUGGAUUAAUGAUUCUGUUGGUUGCUACUAUUGCUAAAUUGCAAGUGAAAUAAUUGCUUUACUAAUAAAUCUUGUCAACUAACUCUGCAAGAAAUUUACCAGUUGCCUACUAUUUGAACGUUUGCAUGUUUUGGUUUCAUGUUCUGCUAACAGUCCAUUUCAUUACCCUGUAACAGUCCAUUUUUCCUUUUUCUUUUACUUUUUUUUUCUCAUUUUCAGUGUUUAUUUUAGCGAAGUGCCCUAAUGUAAGUUGAAAAAUUCAACAGAAAUGUUUUGUUUGAUUCUUAAUUUGGAAUUGUGAUUUUUUUUCACUGUUUCGAUAUGCUAAAUCAGAACUCUCAGUAAUAUGAGUAUUAUUGUGCUUUUAUUUUUGUUUUUCUUUCUUCGUUGACUGGAGACUAAGAGCGAAGACUACAACAGUAGCUGAGUUUUGCUUUUUUGAUUUUUUUGUGUGAUUAUUGUAAUUAUUAUUUUUAAUUCUUUGUCCGGUCGCAGCUCUCUUUGAAGUUUGUACUUUUAUUAUUGGUAAGUGUGUACUUUUAUUUUAUUAUUGGUUUAGCUUCAAUUCAGAUCUCAUUUAUUGUUCUUUCGAUUUUGAUGAUACAGGCUCCGUGAGCUGAAACAACUUGCAAAUAUGCCAUAGAGAUUUGAAAUUAGAAAAUACCCUUUUAGAUGGAAGUCCUGCACCUCGUUUGAAAAUCUGCGAUUUCGGUUACUCUAAGUCAUCUCUGUUGCAUUCAAGACCCAAAUCAACAGUUGGAACUCCAGCAUAUAGAGCACCGGAAGUUCUGACGCGGUGAGAGUAUGAUGGAAAGGGUGAUUGAAAAUGAGUAUUUAGGUCUGAGAAAUGGCAUACUAGAUCAAUCAGCCAUACUGCUUUGAAGCCAUGGUUGUCUAACUUACAUGAACUCAAAAUAUUGAAGGUGUAGUAGAGGAUUCAAUCUCUUCAAGCUGGAAAAGCCAAGGCUUAGCACUUCUUCAAGUGGAGUGUUAUUUAAUGUUGCAUUCCAUGGUCGUUUAUCUUAGUCGGAACUUGAAUUUUUGUAGCUACCUUGUGUACUAGCUUCUUUAACCAUGAUUGUUAAUUAUUACGUGUUUUAUAGCUUCUUUUAUAUUUGGCCGAUUUAAUAGAGAUCAGAUGAGCUGUGAGAUAGAUUGCUCAUUUAUUUAAACAUAAUAUUUUAAUUCUAAAUUUAAAUUCAUUAAUUUUUA